GUGAAUCAUCGAAUUUUUGAACGCAAAUUGCGCUUCCUGGCAUCCCGGGAAGUAUGCCUGUUUGAGGGUCAGUAUUAACAAAAAAUCGGUUUGGUUGCAAAUUGUGACGUUUCCGGUGUUUGCGCUAUCUUAACUUUUUUGGUUAAGGGGCUUAAAAUUGACCUUAUUUGCGCAUUUUUAGACGUACAUAAAUUUUUUUUUAAUCGGCCUUUCCUCAAUCCAAACUCUUCAUUGUUUCC
rnacentral:misc_RNA from 1 species